AGGUUAAUGAGGCGAACCGGGGGAACUGAAACAUCUAAGUACCCCGAGGAAAAGAAAUCAACCGAGAUUCCCCCAGUAGCGGCGAGCGAACGGGGAGGAGCCCAGAGCCUGAAUCAGCAUGUGUGUUAGUGGAAGCGUCUGGAAAGGCGCGCGAUACAGGGUGACAGCCCCGUACACAAAAGCGCAUGUGCUGUGAGCUCGAUGAGUAGGGCGGGACACGUGGUAUCCUGUCUGAAUAUGGGGGGACCAUCCUCCAAGGCUAAAUACUCCUGACUGACCGAUAGUGAACCAGUACCGUGAGGGAAAGGCGAAAAGAACCCCGGCGAGGGGAGUGAAAAAGAACCUGAAACCGUGUACGUACAAGCAGUGGGAGCACAGGUUUACCUGUGUGACUGCGUACCUUUUGUAUAAUGGGUCAGCGACUUAUAUUCUGUAG
rnacentral:rRNA from 1 species